rnacentral:lncRNA from 1 species
AUUUUUUGGCAAAAAAAAUAGAAUUCCGCUCGAUUACCAUAUUUUUGUGUACUAUUGCCCACGCCUUCCGAGUGGGCCGGGCCGCCGGACUCGGAUCGCCUAAAAAUAUUCUGGGCCAUCAAUUAGGAACUAAGGAACCAUAGGUACCGCCUCGCCAUGAUAUUUCCUCAUUUAUUGCAUUUUUCAUCCAAAAACUAGAAUGCCGCUCGCUUAUCAUAUUUUUGUGUGCUAUUGCCCACGCCUUCAGAGUGGGCCGGGCCGCCGGACUCGGAUCGCCUAAAAACUUUUCGGGCCAUCAAUUAGGACAUAAGGAACAAUAGUCACCGCCUCGCCAUGAACGUACCUCAUUCUUUGCAUUUUUCAGCCAAACAACUAGAAUUUCGCGCGAUUUCUUCGUGUGCUUUAGCCCACGCCUUCCAAGGGGUCCCGGGAACCCCGAACCCCGAUUGCCUAAAAACUUUCUGGGCCAUCAAAUACCACCCAAGGAACCAUAGUAACCACCCCGCCAUGAUCGUUCCUC